ensembl:lncRNA
GGUUGAUCUCGGCUGCCUGCCUAUGUCAGUGCAGUGGGACAGUGGGAGUGGAUUUGUACAGCAAAACAGUUGAUCCUGAAGACCUUACAUUCAUGAUAGGCAUAUUUCAGGAGGAUUUGCUUUGGAUUAGUCUAGUCUAGUCCUGUGGAGUUCAUGUUCAUCAGUGACUGAAGUGUUGAAAGGGCACCCGUGAGAAGCUUCUUUCAGAUAAGGUCCAUUUUGAAAAGCAUUCACUUUGUGUUCUCUGAGACUGCUCAGCCAUAUGAACCAAAGCAGUGAUCUUCCAUCUGGAGGACGUUUCCUGGGACAGGGACCAGUAGUCCCCUGAGGGACCGUGUUGCCAGAAGGCUGCUGGAGGAGUUGGAGUGUGGAGGAAGCAGCUGGAAAAUAAUCCAGAUGAUGAAAAGGCUGGGCUGUGCCAAGAGCUGCUGGGGCAGAAGGAACACUGCAACAGAGCUGCCAAGUGCAUUAACAGGGUAAGGCUUCUGCAAGCUGCAAGGCAUGGAGUGGUGAAAUGUGAGUCCCCCAUUGAAGAAAAAGUUCAAGACACAGCUCUCAGUGAUGUGCGCUGCCUUUUGGGAUAGGAAAGGGGUGAUUCUUCUGGAUUUCCUGGAACACAGAACAACACCAUCAAGUCUGAUCGCUACAUCACGAUGCUGACUAAGCUGAAACCUUGAACUUUCAGAAUCAGUCCAGAGAAGAAAUCUUUCUCUUGCAACAUGACAAUGCCAGGCCCCACAUCUGUUUGAAAACCACAGAGCACAUUGCCCAUCUUGUCUGGACCAUCCUAGCACAUCCACCAUGUAGUCUGGAUUUGGCACCUUCUAAUUUCCAUCUGUUUGGGCCAAUGAAAGAUGGACUGCAUGGGCAACAUUGUCCUAGCAACAAUGCCACCAUAGCAGCUGUGAAACAGUGUGUCACCUCCGCUGGUACAGAUUUUUAAUGAACACGGAAUUCAGGCUUGUGUUCAUUGCUGGCAAAAAUACAUAGCUCAUGGUGAUGGCUAUGUUGAAAAAUAUAAUUUUGUAGCUGAGAUUUUAUUCUAUCAAGUGGUGUUAUUGUGCUCUUUGCAUCUGUUGCAGUUUACAUGCGAAUAAAUAGGAAGCAUUACUUUCGGAGCAACCUACAUAUAUCGUAUGCUUGAAAAUGUAUCUUUCUUCUAAAAACAACUAGCAAAGGAGUACAGUGGGAAGACAAUGGGAAAGCAAAUGCCUCCAAACCUAAUGUAGCAGUGAAAACAUGGAAAUAAAAAGCUUCUUGAAUGUGUUCUUAUCAUAACGUGCCUGGGAUAGCAAGUGUUUCUUUGAAAAAACACUGAAAAUACGUUUGGACAGAAGACAGAGCCAGGAAUGUGGUGUGGGACCAGUCAAAGGCAUACUGGAAUAGAAAUGUGUGCAUCGCAGAGUUGUGAUGGGCUACCACAGCUGUAAAAGAACAGUGCUGUAUCUGACUCUUCAUUCUGGUCCCACAAGAUCUUAGCUGGAUGUUGGUGGUAUUGCAGUAGAGUUUGAGCCUUCUCAUCAAUAUUCCGUUACAUUUUGUUGCCAUGUGACAGAUGGCAGCAGAGGGGCAGUCUGACAUAGUGGUGUCUAACAUGGAGUGCAUGUGAAGCAAAGAAUGAAUUUCUCCAUGCAGAAAAAACUGCACCCACUGGUAAUCAUCAACACUUGAUGAACAUUUAUGGAGACCAAGCAGUGGAUGUGAGCACAGUGAGGCGGUAGGUGGUGCAUUUCAGCAAUGGUAGCAGCAAUAGUAUGUCACCUCCGUUUGUGCAGAUUUUUAUGAGUGCAGCAUGCAGGCUCUUGUUCACUGUGGCCAAAAUGCACAGCUACUGGUGAUGACUGUGCUGGAAAUUUUUUUGUAACUGAGAAUUUGCUCUAUCAAGUGGUAUAAAUAUCAAAUGCUAUUGUGUUCUCUAUAUCCGUUGUAGUUUCCAUGGAAAUAAACAAGAGGCAUU